UGGGUCUUGACACACACCAUGCUGACUAUUAUGGUACAUUCCAUUGUAUGUACUCAUGUAUAAGUCUAGACCAGUGUUUCUCAAAUUGUGCUCCUCCGGGUGUUUUGGACUUCAGCUUCCAGAAAUCUCAACCAGCUUGCCAGGAAUUCUGGGAGCUGGAGUCCAAAAUAUCUGGAGGAGCACAGUUUGAGAAACAUUGGUCUAGACAUUUUAGCUUUAAAAAAUCAACCCCCCAAAAUCUGGGUUGACAUAUCCACAGGUCAAUGUAAGUAGUACUGUUGUUAUGAUUGAGCCUUAUGGCUCUGUUACUGACAGACGUGGGCGUAAGACUCCUCGGGAGUCAGAUACUCUCGAGGAGCGAGAAAGAAAAAGACUGCGAGACAUUUUUGCAGCACCAUCUGACGAAGAGUCUUUUGAGGGGUUUACGGAGAGAAUGGAGGAGGGGCUGGUUAGCUCGGAGGAGGAUGAGAUGGAUUGGACUCGGGUAAGGGAGGAAUUGGGUGCCACUGGUCAUGAUGGGAUAGAAGAUGAAUGGGGACUUUCAGGAUUAGACCCAUGGCUUAGCUGGAGGGAUGGGACGGGAUCCACAGCUGGAGAUGCUGUGGGGCGUAGUCAGAGGUGUUCCAGCUCUGAUGAGGAAAGUGAUGAGGAAACGCCCGGGUUAAGGAGGACAGCUGACAGUGAUGAGGAUUUGUAACUGGCAUAAAAUGGGGCUUGGGAGCAAUUGCAAAUUGCGUUGGGCAAGGUAAUCUGGACAAACGCUUGGGAUCUGUGUGGGACGCUUUCCUGAAGACUGGUGUGUUUUCCUGUGCUGAGACCUUGACCUUCCGUCGUCUUCUUGACGGACGCCAUCUCCUGCUUUGAAAACUCGGAUUGAACUGACCACGGCUUGUCUUCCCCCUUCUGGACUUGGAAACUACAACGUCUACUUCUGGCUUUGAACCACGGAAAGGAACUGGGUCUACUCUUCUGCUACAAUCCUUGGCUGAUCUGUUCGUGUUGGAAAUCCUGUCUGCUGUGUGUGUGGGAGCGACGCAAGUUCCUCUAAGCACCGUGUUGGCAGCAGAGAGGAAUCUGCUGCCAAUUAGUUGCAUUCUUUUGUUCCUUGGCUUUUGUUUUGUUUACCCUCAGGCUGAAGCAAGCAGUUUGUUUUUACCCGGAUUAAACUUCGGUUUAAUCCGGUUUAUCUUUUGUACGUUUUUCCCUUGUCCCUUUUUUGCUCCUAAAGGCUAAAAUUGCCUGGCCCUUGUGUUUUUACGGGCAUUUUUGAGUUCUGUAAUUAAAUAAACUCUGUUAUUUUGAA